CACUGAUUCCCCUAGUAACGGCGAGUGAACAGGGAAAAGCUCAAAGUUGGAACCUCCUGGCCUUAGGUCUGGCGGAUUGUAAACUAAAGCUCUCGAGUAGUUUGGCUGGCCCGGUAUUCAAGUUCUCUGGAAAGGGACGACAAAGAGGGUGAAAUCCCCGUUUUUGGCCGGAGCAUAGUCUUACGUUUGCUUGGAAGCGAAGAGUCAGGUUGUUUGGUAUUGCAGCCUAAAGUUGGAGGUAAAUCUCUCCUAAAGCUAAAUAUUGACGAAAGACCGAUAGCGAACAAGUACCGUGAGGGAAAGAUGAAAAGCACCUUGAAAAGGGGGUCAAAAAGUACGUGAAAUUGCUGAAAGGGAACGGUAUGAAAUCAGACUGUCUAUUUGGUAAUCAGCCUGGGCUUUGGCCUGGGUGCACUUGCCAGUUAGUACAGCCUACGACAAUUUGAAGCGUAGGAAAAAAUCAGGGGGAAUGUGGCCUCGGCUUCGGUUGAGGUGUUAUAGCCCCUUGAAAAAUACUAUGCUUUGGAUUGAGGACUGCAGCGGGCCAUUAGGGAUGAACUGUGGGCGCUUAGUUUCGGUAAGGAGUGAAUUUCUGCUUCGGGUGGUGCGCUUCUUAUGGGGAUUAACCCGCCUAUUUUUUCUUUUUCUCGCUUAGGUCGUAGGCCUAAUGA
rnacentral:rRNA from 1 species